UAAGAGGCAAAACCUGGCCUCUUCUGGGCUUCCCUGUACUGCCUCUACCAGUUAAUCUGAAGCGCCAGGGAGGGGAAGGCUCUUUCACUUUGGAGCUUUGGGAAAGCUCACAUUGUCUCCCCCAUCCCAUUUCAGCAAGAGAGGCUUCCUAGCAGAGGUGGAGGGAUUUCCAGGACUGGAACAAAGGGAGAGACCUCGACUCACAGACAAGAAGACGCUCAGAGGACAUCCUGCCUCACCCAGUCUUUUUCAAAGGAGUCCCAGCAAAGGAGAGGUGCCUGACUAGGAAAUCCUACAAACCUACCAACUUCCAAAGGACCAAAACUGUUCUGGGUGAGAGCUCCGACUGGUGCAUCAUCUUGAGACUGCCGAGUUUGCUUGUAGCUGUCAUGAGAGAGGAAAUGCCAGCAAGCCCCCUCCCCGUGCUGAGAAGUUAAUCCCCAGAGACCUUGCUGACUGACACAUGGUGGGUGCUUCAUAAUAAAUGAAAAAUAAACUUAAAUAACAUGAUAAGUACCCGUUGCAUCAGUGAGUGUUGCUGCAUUAAUAUGCCCAGGUGUCUCUUUAACAGGGCA